rnacentral:rRNA from 1 species
UACGAAGGGGGCUAGCGUUGCUCGGAAUCACUGGGCGUAAAGCGCACGUAGGCGGAUUGCUAAGUCAGGGGUGAAAUCCUGGAGCUCAACUCCAGAACUGCCUUUGAUACUGGCGACCUUGAGUCCGGGAGAGGUGAGUGGAACUGCGAGUGUAGAGGUGAAAUUCGUAGAUAUUCGCAAGAACACCAGUGGCGAAGGCGGCCUUCUGGACAGUGACUGACGCUGAGACGCGAAAGCGUGGGGAGCAAACAGG